rnacentral:lncRNA from 1 species
CCAUCUAAUUAAACAUACACAUACACACAUAAUUCUAACAUCCUAGCAUCCAUAAUACCUGAGAUCAAGUUUACAAAUCCUUAUAUUUAAAUAAUUCAAAUUACAAUCCCAGUCGAAUGACAAUGCUUUAGCUCAGGCAGAUGAAUUUCCAUUCUUAUCCCAUUUAGUGACGUGCUCUCUUCCUUUGUGUAUAGUCACAUUCAUAGCAAUCUCCAUGUCUUGUUCAUCAGUUAACUGGCAUCGUGUUUCGAAAAUGCAAGACAAAUCUGGUGUCCUGGUGACUGAGCUUGAUUCAAAACCCGUUUCCUCCUCUUUCACCCACUCUCAAUAACCACAUUUCAUGCUGCACGUAUUGAAUAGUUUACCUUUGUUGUCGGUGUUCUUCUCCACCUUGAAGCACUUCAAAAAGACAUGUUUACACCAUGGCAGGGUCAUUUGUUCGGGCAUUCCAUGAAAAAAUGACCCUUUAGUCUACAGCUAUGACAAACUCCAUAAUUCUUUCCUUUCAUUUUAAGCUGUGAAUCGAACACCAAACAAAAUC